AAUGAGCAGCAGGAAACAAAAUGUGUUUCUGAAUACCAAACUUAGAUAAAGACAAAAACUGUCACUUGGAUUCUGCUUUGUCUUUUACUUUUGCACAUUUCAAUUAUUGUUGUGUUAUGUUUUGUUGCUGUCAUGUUUUAAGAAAUUCAUUGUACUCGGAACAAAUCAAUCGAGGCAACACAAAUCUGUUUCAGCUCCCUAAAAAUGAGCACAAAUUCCAUCAAUCCAUCCAUUUUUUAUACCGCUUCUCCUCAUUAGGGUCGCGGGGGUAUGCUGGAGCCUAUCCCUGCUGACUUUGGGCGACAGGCGGGGUACACCCUGGACUAGUCCCCAGCCAAUCGCAGGGCACAUAUAGACAAACAACCAUUCACACUAUGGACAACAUUCAUACCUAUGGACAAUUUGGAGUCGCCAAUUAAGCUAACGUGCAUGUUUUAGGAAUGUGGGAGGAAACCCACACACGCACGGGGAGAACAUGCAAACUCCACACAGAAAUGCCCAACAGAUAUUCGAACCCAGGUCCUCCCGAUCUCCUGACUGUGUGGCCAACAUGCUAACCACUAGACCACUGUGCGGCCCAUGAGCCUAAAUUCCCAUCACCAAUGUAGAGUAGCAUUUCUUCCGAAGUAUUUUGAGCACAACCCAAAACUGCUCAGCAUUAUUGUAUAUGUAGCUCUGCCCUUGCUUUGUAUAAAGAAGCAUCACAGCGACGGUUAAGAAUGUAGUUUGACUGCAAGUCACAUCUGAAAGGUUUUCAGAAAGGUAAGAGUUGGGGUAAGUGCUCUUGGCUUAGGAUUUGCAUCAGUUGGUCUUACCUCCCCAGUGCACAGCUUGUCAUUAUGCUGACGGUUCAGCAUGUUUUUGAGUCCCUGCAUCCAUCAGGCCACCUGCGACAGCACCAACAAUGUGACCUUCAACUGUAGAAUCAAAACCACAGGUUGAGGUACCCACUGCCCAGGCUCAUUUUUCAUCAAAGGCUCUGUGUUGGUGAAGAACAUCAUAAGCAAAGGAUACGCAUCACCUGACCACAGCAUUACUACCCACAGCAUCUACAGCAUCUGGAGAGACACAGAAAGAUGAAGUGAGCAGAAACUGACCACACUCACAAACCCACACCGGGGCCGGUCCUUUGCACAAAACCAUGAGCAAUGAAACAAUGCUACAUGAUUGGCUUUCUCAAGGUUGCACCAUUCACAGCCAGCACAUUCAAAGAAUUGAGAAACUGCAUCACAGCCCCUCUGUUUCAAGUUAAACAACACAAUGAAAGCAGUGAACUGCUACAAUGAAAAAGGAAAUCAGCUUACCGGGUUGGGAAUGAGGUCCUGCCCCAGGUGGAGGAGUUCAAGUAUCUCGGGGUCUUGUUUUUGAGUGAGGGAAGGUUGGAGCGUGAGGUCGAUAGGCGGAUUGGCGCAGCGUCUGCAGUAAUGCGGUCUCUGUACCGGACCGUCGUGGUGAAGAGAGAGCUGAGCCUGAAGGCAAAGCUCUCAAUUGAAAGAACGAGAUCGUGGA